rnacentral:misc_RNA from 1 species
UCACUACUUGCGUAGGCAGUCUGGCUAGAGUCCCCACCAUCACGUGCUGGUAACUAACCACAGGGGUUGCGCUCGUUGCGCCACUUAAGGCAACACCUCACGGCACGAGCUGACGACAGCCAUGCAGCACCUUCCGGCCCGUCCCGAAGGAAAGCUCCCUUUCAGGAGCCGGCAGGCCGGAUUUAGCCCAGGUAAGGUGGGGAUGACGUAGACCUUGGACC